ensembl:lincRNA
CUGGGGAGGCACAUAUGACAAGCUGUGGAGUGCACGGUAGUGUGGAGAUUUCCUUGAUCCCACUGAAAUAUUUAAAAUUCAGCCAUUAAUCAUAACAGCUGCAUUCUUGCUUCAAGUGAUCAGCCAGUAAUGAUUUUGACAUUCUGAGUUUUAGAAAUUCCCAUUAAUUGUCCUUAAAAAAGGGCAGGAAUGAAUAAACUUGACUUCAUUUGUGAGGAAAGAAUCAAUUCCUCUCACUCUGUUAGUUGCUCUUGAUCUCCUUUUUUUUUUUUUUCUUCAAAAUUAUUUGAUCUAACGUGCAGCUAUUUUCUGGACUUGUUUCUCCAGGUCUGAAUUGUAAUGGCUGAAUGUUCUAGAUGGCUGUUGGUCCCCGGAAUCAACAGGAAACGAUGAGCCCUUUGAUAACAGGUGCUUCUGGGAGCAGUCCCUGCUAGCCAGCUUAGCUUCAAAACAGAGCAAUGCUAGAAAAGACAAGGACUGGAGGCUGAGAAAGGUGAGCCAGCGCCAUGAGGAGUGGCUGCCUCUUGAAUCCUGUCAGUCUCCGGCAGAUCCGAUUACAUCUGGGGCCCUUAAGAGUACUUCAAGCAAACGGCGCUGGUCUAUUUUAAUCCUGCUCCUUCUAGAAACCAGAAACUGUAAGGAGAGUCUUCCUGCUGACAGGUGGCUCCAUAAAAGUCGUCCAUCUGCUGCUAAUUAUGGUAGAAAGAAAAUUCACAGAGCCGAGUUUUCAGUUUAUUUGCUAAAGAUCUCCAAAGGUGUAACUGUCUUCCCAGAUCACAAGGCCAUUCACAGCAUUACCUCUAGAGCGCUUGUUAAUUAUUUAAAUAAUUUACAACCCGGGGUGGCAGCGAGCAUUUAACAGAAGUCUGGCUGGGUGAUUUUACUUUAUGAUGAAGUUAUAGUCAAUAUUAAGCUUAAUUAGUGGCACUGAAUCUGUCAAAUUCAAUCAUUUUUGACGUAUUUGAUGAUUUUUCUGCAGGUGCUAGAAAUACUAUAAAAUGCAUUUUAAAAGACGUAUAGCUUCAAGUUGGGUGUGAUGAACUGGAACCCUCCUAAUCUGUUCUGUAGGUUCUGUCCUUGAGCAUUACACAGAACCUUACAUAAGACUCUGGUUUGCAGGUAUAAAAUGAAGGUAGGAUUGGGUUAACCACAUGACCUAAGUUACGUCAAAUACUCUGAUGGCUAUAACGUGGAAGUCAGAAAUUGGUCGCUAGUUGAAUGAUUUGCAGAGAAUAUACAGAAAAUACACAAAUCAAAUGAAGUCAUUGCACAUGAAAAUGGUAGAACAAAGAGGCAAUCGUGAGGUCAAAUGCUAGGGUCCAUGUCAUGAGACAAAAGCAGUGCUAGGUCCCUCCUGACUCCAUCUGGCCCAUUUUUUUGCAUUAUAUUUGGAUGUCCUUUUACCUAGAUAAUAUUGUUGGAAUAUAAUUCAUAUGGUUUUCUAUAUAUUCAAGUUCUCCUAGAAGGCAGGUUAGGAAAAUAAGUUUUGAUAAAAAUGACAUAAAACAGCCCAAAACAAUGCAGAAGUCUAAAAAAGUGACUAGAAAAGAAUUGGCUGGGAUAGUGAAAAGAUUUUUAUUGCAAAAUGUCCUAUUAGAUAAAUCUGGUUGCAUUUGCUGUUGAUUUUAUUUUUAAAAUGUUUUAUUCUGCCACUGUUCUUUGCAGACUUUCUACUUCUGGGUUUUCAAUGUUUCUCUAUUCUUUGAAAUGUUACAUGCAUAUGGAAGCGGCAAAGUGGGCACUAGAUUGGAAUAGGCAUCUCAAACCCUACCAUUGUUUGGAUCUCAGUUUUGAAUUAAUUGCCUAACUUACUUUGCCUUUAAUACUUCCUGUUCUGGUCUUACCAACUUCUUACCUUGUGACCCAAUCCUUUGAAGCUGAGCUUCACUUGGUCUCGUUUCUCUGUGCAUUUCUUGGUUGCUUUCCUUGAUCUCUCCCUCUAAAUAGAUCUAUUUUCUAGAUCCCUCUCAGCAAGCUCUCAAGCCUGCUGGGCAACCUCUUCUGGCCUGGCUUGGCCUUUGAAAGCAUCACGUCUUUCCUGGUCCUUCUGGCCCCUUAAAUAGGACUUGGCAAGACACUAGGUGGCUGAACCUCAUGUUUUGGGAACUUUUGGUUACAGCCAGACUUCAAUGAGUCUUCCUCCAAUUUCUCUCACUUUUCACAAUUUUUCCAUUCUCCAUUUUACUGUUGCAUAAGUUCCCAUGGCAGGAUUUUCCAAAAUCUGGUUGUGCUCAAAGCCUUGUAUAUUUGAUUGAAAGAAACAUUGCCAUGGCUCUUUCUUCUUCCUUUUCCUAUAGCUAAUUGUAAGACUUGAAGAAAAUGAAAAGGGGCUCCUACUUGGGAAAGAGCUGGAGAAUUUUUGACUCAUAGUCUGUAUAACAUGAACUAAUGUAUAUUAUACAUUGUUGUAUGAUAUUCCUUAUUGACAUUGUCUUUCUAAAUAUAUGGUUGAUUCCAUAGAAGGUAAAUACUUCUCUCUUCUCUCUCUCUCAAGUUUAACACCAUGCCUGCACAUACCGUAGGAUCAUUAAGUAUUUUUUCCUUUUUAUAUAUUUUUUUAUUUCAAUAGCUUUUGGGGUACAAGUGGUUUUUGGUUACAUGGAUGAAUUGUAUAGUGGUGAAGUCUGAGAUUUUAGUGUACCCAUCCCCCAAGUAGUAUACAUGGUAUCCAAUGUAUAGUUUUU